rnacentral:misc_RNA from 1 species
UUCACAUCUACGAACCUUGCAAUGUUCGGAUUCGGUUUAAUGCGACCCAUGUGUGUCGAGGAAGGUCAAAUCCUGGUGGCCUGGUCCACUGUCUGAGAGCAUCUGGAAUAAUUAAUAGGGGGUGCUUCCUCUCUCCAUCAGACAAAAAAUUCUCACUCUUGUUCAUAAAACAUUAAAUGUUGGAUAAGAAGCUAAUUUUAUUGCAUUCACGGAUCCCGUAAUGUACGGUUGCCAUAAUUGAAUUGAAUUGAAUUAUUUAAUGUACUGUAUUACAGGUCUCACAAUAUAAGGCUCGGUUGCACAAUUUCGGUUAAAUUUUAUUCGUGAUUAAUUUUACGAGAACCAAUAAGAGAAGGCUUUUUAAAAAAGAAGGCUUCUCUGAUUGGUUCUCGUAAAACUAAUAACUAUUAAAAUUCAACCGGUUUAUCUGCAACUUGCACUAAGUUUUGUAAAACACAACAGGCUAACAGUUACCAUCAAAUUGAUUAUAAAACUAAUCCCUCUAAUGAAUGCUUCACAAUUUGUGCCAGAACAAAAUUGUUAUAUCUGCCUCUAUUACUCUGUGAAGUGAUCAUACUACAGAAUAUCAGCUUCUAAUACAUGUGUGAUCAUACACUCAGUAGUUUAGCUUUAAUGUUUGUCAUCUGUUUUAUCAGUCAUAAUAAGUAUUUACUUAUCAACUGUUAGAAUUUCUGCUUAAUAUGAGGGUUUGUAAGUUUUGUCCUAGUCUACCAAUUGAUGGGUGCUUUGGAAGUAGAUGUGAAGUGUAGCCUAAUUAACUUGUAAUCAAGUGAUGUAUUAUUUUGUUGGCCGUUCUAAUGUAGACCUCUGGUUUGCUUGUAUGUUUUGAAUAUGCUGGUUUAUAAUUAAUUGCAUAAUUCUUAAAUAGAUUACAUACUUGAACUUUGUAAUAUAUAUAGACACACGAUGGGGGUUAAUUUAGCCUAAAUACAAUUUGAAUUAGUAUGGUGACAACUAACAUUUCAACAGUCAAAAUUCUUGAAUAAUAAUAAACUUUUGAACAGUUCAAGAGAGGCUGAUUAUUUAAUGAUUUAACAGAUUGAUUUUACAUUGAAAAGUUGCUAAUUUGUAUAAAUUCAAUUAUAUUUACCACUCUCUAGUUCAUUAAAAACCAUUUGUAAUUACAAUCAAAACAAACUUUAACAACUAUUGAACAAUCAAAUCUGUUUGAUUUAUUUCUUAUGUUACUGAUGCUUUAACUAUAGAUUUGUAAAUCUUAAACUAAUAAGAUGAUAGAUAUAAAUAUUAAUCUCAUAUAAAUCUAUAUAAAUUAAUACAUAUAAAUCUCAGUUGAUUGAAUUAAAACAUUGUGCAGUGAAUAUAAAUUACUGAUUGUUAACUAUUGAUAGAAAUUUUAUUUUGGUCGACUGAAUACAUGUGCAUUGACGCUUGAUAAGAGUUAGAAAUUUGUUAACAUUUUUAAUUCAUUUAUUUAGUUUGAGACCUAAUAUUUUUACAAUUAAAUAUUCGGAAAUUUGACUAUUCAAAAAAAGCUAAAUUCUUGUGCAUUAAAAACUAUAUUUUGACAGUGAAUAUAUCAAAUAACAAUUUGUAUAAAUCUCAAUUAAAACAACUGUAUUAUUUCUGUCAAUUGAAAUAAAAUGUAACCUUACAGUUGAAAAUUUUCUUCAACCUUAAUUGAAUAUAUUUCUAUGUUAGAAAGUUUUUGUAGAUUUUAAUUGGGUAAUACCUUGGCAGUUUUAUAAAAUUGAAUGAACUUAACGGCACUUAUUGAUAAAUUUACAAUUUGUUGAAAUUCAAUUUAAUGAAGUUUUAUUGAGUGAAGACUUUCCUUAAUUCAUUCAAAAAUCUCAAUUUAAUUAACUGACUCUUGUGUGCAAUCCACCAUGAACGAAUACAGCAGCAACAUAUUUUUGGAGAAGCUGAUGUUCCUGCCCUUCAACCUGAAGUGGAUAGUGUUCUUCGUGCUGAGUCAGCUACUUGCGUUCAUAGUGUCCACCUAUCACGUGUUCUUUGUCCACGUUCCCAGUUUCAACUACGUGUUCCUAGUUUCUUUUGUGCUGCUGACAGUUGACGUGGUGGGUGGAGCCAUUCACAGCUGUUUUCCGGAGAUAGCCAAUAGGCGUGAGCAUAAGCCUAGGCCGGCGCUGCAGCGCAUUGUCGAGGUGGUCUACAUUGCUCUCGAGAUCGGUAACAUUGCCCUGCCAGAGUCUACCACUCUCACCAUGCUAAUUAACGCGCUGCGCAUAUGGAAGAUAUUCAAUUGCUACCUAAUAACGUCGAACAUAGUAGGCCAAGCCAGCUUAACGUCAUUGCUGAUCAAGUUCUUCAUCGCCAGCCUGAUAAUCGUGCACAGUUUCUCGUGUCUAUGGUUCAUGAUUCUGCGCACUCAACGCGAUGAGGAGAACUGGUCUAGAGAGGUGCUCAGAACCAAAGUCAUCAACGAGGACCAGAUCAUAGAGUGGUACAUUCUGUGCGUCUACUUUGUGUCCAACACGUUCACUACUAUCGGAUUCGGCGAUAUUGUUGGACAAACUGACUUGGAAAAAGUGAUAUGCCUAAUUGUAAUGGUGUCCGGCUAUAUACUGGUUACUGGUCUCUUUCUAGCCGCAUUCAGCUCGUAUCUAACUCUGAAAUACUCCUACUAUUCCGAAUAUAAACAGCGGCGCACCCUCAUUCACAAAACAUUUAGAGAGUAUUUUCCUUCGGAGAACACGACAAUGCAGAUAAAAAACUUCUACGACAGAUUUUGGCAAGAAGAGGAAGGUAUUGUGGAUGCUGAUCUGAUGCAGAAACUGCCUGUUCCCAUACAAGCAAUGGUUUCCUACGACAUUUACAAGAACUCAUUGGAUUCGUGCUGCCUGCUUGAGGAUCUGCACCCAGCUGUGAAGCGCAACCUGAGCCAAUACAUGACCAAGCAAGUGCACUUGCCUGGCUGGAAGAUAAUCGAGAAGGGCGCCUGGCUUGAUACCUACAUCUACAUAUCUUACGGUGUGGCGCAGGUGCAAACGGACGAGGACGACGAGAGCUCUAUAUUCUCGAUGGGUGUUGGCAGUGGAUUCGGUUCGUCGGCGCUGCUGUUCAGUCGGCCUUCGAAGGUGGAUGUGAAGGCUGCCACUUACUGCAUCACUCACCAGCUGCGGCGUCAGCACCUAUUCCAUGUGCUCUCCCUCUACAAGGACACCAACCGCCUCAUCAUUGCUAGCAUGCAGAAAAAUAUGCAGAGAAUCUAUGCAUGCAUGGCAAGGAACAAAAGAUCUGAAAGAGAAUCAGGGCUGAAAGCACUGAAGGAUAACCUGAACAAUUUCAUGACCGCCAUCACGAUAUCGAACGGAGCCAUUUGGUUCUCCGACGAAGAAAUUAAAGUGAAAAAACGUUACCAGUCUGAAGAUUUGGCUUUGAUUUGCAGGGAUCUUGUGCAUAUGAACUAUAUACCGGCUGUGGAAACUGAAGAAAUAACUACAGAUGAUGCCUGUAUUCGAACCGAGUUUCCAUGGGUGCUAGAACCAAACUCUUCAUUUCUAAGAGUGUGGGGAUAUGUGAUUCUAAUCAUUGCACUUCUAGCCUCUCUGCUCAUACCGUACUUUGCAUUCUUCUAUCGAAUGAUACCCGAUCAGAUAAAAAUAGUAUUCACAAUUAUCAAUCUGGCCUACCUUAUGGAUGUGAUAUUCGUCUGUAUAACAGCACAAGAAAUGCCUGGCGGAAGAGUGAGCAAAAGCAAAGAAAUCUUGAAGUUGAAGGUGAAGGGAAUCUAUUUCAUAGUGGAUGUGUUUGGAGCUCUGCCGUUGUAUUCACUGUUGUCCAAUCUAAUGGAGGAAGAAAAUGCUCGCCUGAGACCUCUAUUCCUUCUCAACUAUCUGAUCGGCAUGAUAAAAGUGCAUAAAUUCUUCUCAAAGCUGGAGCAUGGAUUCGAGGUGGACCUACUGAUACUGCGCAUUGUCAAGUACAUAUUCUAUUUCACAGUUGUCGCCUAUUGGUUUGGCAGCAUAUUCUACACUGUUGCCUGUUUCAUGCCUGACUGCUUGGAGAACAGCUGGUUCGCGUUCCUGACACGCAGGGACGAACAGACUACGCCUCAGAAGGUGCGUCACAACUUUCCGUUUGCCGUCUCCAUCUACUUCGGGCUGCUGGUGAUGACGCAGACGGCUUUCGGUGACGUCGUGCCCUACAACUUGGCCGAAGUGCUCAUUGUCAUCGUAUUCCAGUUCAUUGGUACAUUCCUCUUCUGCUACCUCAUUGCUGACUACUCGGCCACGCUCACUAUUGAGGGAUUCUACAAAAUUGAAUUUCUGCAGUUCAUAGCUGUGAUGACAAGAAUUCUGGACAACAAUAAAAUUCCACCGGCCUUGAAGCAAAGAAUUUUCAAAUUUAUGCAUCUACAAUGGCAACACAGGAAAGGCUAUUCAGUACUGAAAGAAAAGCCAAUGAUGUGGGAUCUGCCUGUUCGUUUAUACACUUCGCUCAGAAUUGAACACUUGUCCAAGGAGCUCAAAAGUAUACCAUUCCUUGCGAGUAUGGGAGAUGACGUGUUGGACAAAUUGGCGCUGCUUGUUGAUAUCUACACAAUUCCCCCCAAUGAAGUAGUAGCCUACUCUGGCAGCACAGUCAAAGAGUUCUAUAUCAUUGAAGAAGGCAACUGUUCUAUGAUUGAUGGAAAGAAUAGAGUUGUGAGAACAAUACGUGCAAUGCAGUUUUUCAAUCUAUUCGAAAUGUUGAUGGGUUUGAAAUCCAUCUACAAUAUAAAAACGGCGACUCAUUGUCGAGUGGUAAGAGUUUCGAUGCAACAUAUCCAAGAAGUGAUGCAGCUGCUCAACAUUGAGAGCAUGCAGGAGAAACUCGACGAAGUCAUACAUGAGAUGAAAGACAGUGUGGAGGUGAAACGGCUGAAAGUGCAGAAGACGGUGACAAUCGGCGAGAAUGUGAUGGAGAACACAUGCGCCGGGUAUCUGUUCACGGCCGGACACAGGGCACAUCCCAAUGUCGACUAUUUGGACCCAUUCAACCAUAUCGGCUUCCUCAGUGGCCUCAGGUUUGUGCUGAUGCCGAUUACGAUCAACCCGAACGGCUCGUUUAUGUAUUCGUGGGAAAUAUCGAGGGGAGUGUUUGCUUUCUGCUCCAGCAUUAUAUUCCCGAUUCUGCCCUACCUCAUGACCUACAAGCCUGGCAUGAUUUAUGUGCCGCUGUUUCUCGACUUCACUGCACUGGCUGAUAUCUACAUCCGGAUGCACACGUGCUUCUACAACGAGGAGGGACUGCUAGUGCUGCACCCUCUGGUCACAGCCAUUCACUACUUCUCCUCGAGCUUUGUCAUCGAUCUGCUCGCCUGGCUGCCACUCAACUACUUCAUCGGCCCCCACCCGGUCGACGGAAACGCCGACUGGUUCUGGGUAACGCAUUGGUCGUCUGAUAUUAUACGAUGCAACAGAAUUCUGCAGAUGCAUCGCCUAGUGUCCUGGUUCGUGUAUCAAGAAAAUCAAAUAUUGCGGAAAACCGCUCAUAUAACAUUUUGCAAAUACUUUAUAAUUUCGCUGAUGUUCUUGAACACAUUGGCCUCCAUCUUGGAAUUCAUCACCAUUCGGUAUCAGGUGAAUCCGCACUCCAAACAAGUCAACUAUGAUAUGCUCAAGCAGCAGCAUUCCUGGAUCUAUUCCUAUCAUCCGGAUUUUACCCUGGACACAAUUGGUGAUUUUCUAACCAUGCAUCUGAUAGCCUACUACUGGACAGCUAGCGUGGCGCUGGCUAUAGGGCCCGGUGACAUCAGCGCUCAAAACGUCGAGGAAAUGGUCUACGUGUGUACAGUGGUUGUCCUAGGAUUUCUAUUCUACACGUAUGUGCUGGCUAUCCUAGCUAAUGCCAAGGCAAGCCUCGAUUUGAAUCUGACCAUGUACCAGGAACGAAUGCAGAGUCUUGUCUCGUUCAUGACCAGUGAGAAUGUCAGCAGAGAUAUUCAAAAAAAAGCAAUCCAUCACUUUGAAAGGGUGUGGCAGAGGACGAGAGGCGUGCCCCUCAACACCAUUUGCACCAAGUUCAAUGUCACGCUCAAAGAGGACUAUCUGCUGCAAAUCUAUAUGGAUACCUUUAGAAAGGUGUCUGUGUUUGAGGACGAGCGGUCGGCGUUCUUCCGCGAGCUGGCGGCCGCAGUGGAGGUGCGCUACUUCAUCAGUGGCGAGGACGUGAUGCGACAGAACGACGUCGUGUCGCACAUCAUGAUAGUGCACCACGGCCAGGUCAGGGGCAUCAACUGUGUCGGCGAAAAGGUGUUGCUGCUAGGGCGUGGAAGUAUAAUCGGCAACAUAAUCUGCGACAGUCCGGCUGUCAGAAUGAAUAUGCUGUUCGUAGCCGAGCGAAAUGCCGACAUUCUGUUCACUGAUUCCUACGUGUUCUUCAGCAUCCUCAAAGAGCACACCGGCAUUAUCAGCAAAUUGGACGAUCAUGUACACGAUGGAAAGCUGUACGUGCCAUCGAGCGACGUGUCCCGCAAGGAGGAGAAGAAGAAGACGUACCGACCGCACUGGCUGCAGAAGUCGUUCAAGAUGUCGGCAGAUGCGGCCAGCCAGGACUCGCGGUCGGAUCUGGGUGAGGGGGGCCGGGGUGCGGCGGCGCGCAAGGCCAACCGGUCCAGCUCUGUCGACGAGAAGGAGUUGCCGACAAAGGACAGGCCAGGCAAUUUGCGAGACACCCCCCGAGCUGCGUCCAUGGAUGGCUGGGGGGAGACGGCUGGCAGUAAGCGCGGCACCAAGAGCAAGCCUAGGCGCAAAAACCUCACCGCUUGGUUGAUGAUAACUGCCCGCCUGCUGAACAAUACAUUCUGCACGGUGUGUGUGAAUACGUCACUUCUUCUCAGUGUCAUCAUGUGCUCCUUUGAUCUGGGCUUUCAAAGUGAGGAGCUAUUCAUUCCCAUUCAAAUUCUCGAAGUCAAAUAUGCUAUCAUUAUACCUGAAGAGUUGGACAGGUUUUAUACUGGAUUUUAUUGCUAUAAUGCCGAUAGGCUUAGUUUUGAGGUACACUACCAGUCACUAUGCCAUGACAUUGGGUAAUACACUGCAUCUUUUGAGAAUGAUAAAAGUGUACCGUUUCAUUGAAGUGAAGUCAGACCGGCUGAACGUGAAAGUGGUGUACAUUAAAAUGAUGGUCAUAGCCAUCACCUUCACACUCAUAUUCCACAUAAUGGCCUGUGUGUGGAACGCCGUGCAUUGUCCCCGCAAUAUUUGCAAUGAGGCAGACAAAAUCUGCGACAGCAACUACAUCUGCGCGAUCUACUACACGACGACGACGCUGAUCGGCACCGGGUACGGCGACAUGGGUCCGACCCGCAUCCUCGAGUACGUCUACGUGGUCGCCAUGAUUGUGUUCAGCCGAUUCAUAUUCGCCAUGUUCAUAGGUGACAUCACCAACACUGUGCAGACCAACAACUUCUCAUUUCAGACCUACGAGUACCAGCUCAUGCGCUUGAAGAAAUACUUGUCGGUGAACGGUGUGAACACAUCGGUGGUGAGGCCGGUGGUGGAGUAUUGCACCAGGCUGUGGGCGGGGCAUAGCGGCGAGCAGAUCCCCGCCUUCUUCAGAAUGGCCAACAUCUGUCUGCAGCAGGACCUCAGCAACGAGAUUUACGGCAAACAUUUCACCGAGUGCUUCCUGUUUGUGGGCCUGCACAAGGACCUGUUGAGGCAGGUGGCCUGUUGCUGUGAGCAGAUUGUGUACCACCCGAACGACAUCAUCGCCCAUGAACGGCAGGUCAAUAACAGGAUGUACAUCAUUCACAAGGGCGCAGUGCAGGCCUCCAAUUCCGACGGAAAUACGCUCAAUUUUCAGCAGAGAGACUUCUUUGGUGUUCCGCAAGGAUUGUACGAGAACAUGCCUCACUCGUACACUUACAAGGCUUUGAAAGUGUGUGUCAUUCUGUCGUUGUGUUUCGACGAUUGGAGCAAUCUGCUUCAGUUUUUCCCCGCCUCAAGAGUCGAGCUCUACGACCGCAUUGAACGCCUCGAAAGGAUGUACAUUGCCAAAAACCUUUCCAAAACUUUCUCAAUUCAAUCAGCAGGACAAUAAUAUUCUUUCAAUAUUGUGAUGAAUAAUGUUUACCAAGAGGUAUUCUAGUUUAAUUAUGAUGAUUAAUCAACAUUAUUUGAUCUGUUAAA